rnacentral:rRNA from 1 species
UCGAACGGAGUGCCUAGCUUGCUAGGUGUCGUUAUUGGCGCCUGGGUGAGAUCCACGUGGGAGCAUACCAUUAUAUGUACGGAAUAACUGCGGGAAACUGUAUCUAAUACCGUAUAUUCCAGUAAUGGGAAAGAUUUAUCGCUCAUGAGUAUUGGCCCGCGCAAGGAUUAGGUUGUUGGUGAGGUAAUGGCUCACCAAGGCUCCGAUCUUUAACUGGUAUGAGAGGACGAUCAGCCACACUGGGACUGAGACACGGCCCAGACUCCUACGGGAGGCAGCAGGUAGGGAAUAUUGGACAAUGGGGGAAACCCUGAUCCAUCAAUGCAGCGUGAGUUGACGAAGGCCUUAUGGUUGUACAACUCUUUCAUCGGUGAGGAUAAUGACAGUAGCCGAAGAAGAAGGACCGGCUAAUUCCGUGCCAGCAGCCGCGGUAAUACGGAAUGUCCUAACGUUGUGCGGAAUUACUGGGCGUAAAGCGCUUGUAGGCGGAACAAAAAGUUAGAAGUGAAAUCCCUGGGCUCAACCUAGGAAUUUGCUUUUAACACUUUUGUGCUGGAAUACCGGAGAGGACACACUGGAAUUUCCAGUGUCGAGGUGAAAUCGUAAAUUUGGAAGAACACAGUGGCGAAGGAU